rnacentral:lncRNA from 1 species
CGAGACUCCGCCCUCAAAUUGAGUCAACAGCUCACAAGUCCUCCUCGCUGCCACCAUCUCCAUCCAGAGCUUUCAAAGCCUUUGUGAGUCUCUUGACAUGCUCUUGUGUCGAGACCCACCGAGUCAAGAAGCUUUUGAGGCUAUUAACGCUUGACCUACAAAGACAUAUUUGUUGAAUCUAAUUAAAGUCUAAUUAAAGAGAAGCUAUUGACUGCGCUGAUUGUUCUAUUAAACCCUUUGAACUGCUGGGGUUACAGAGAAUCAUUUCAAGUAAUCUAUGAAGGGUUUUGACGAGGGUUUUGAGGUCGGCGAUGUGUUGAGAGAGAGUAGGGAAAUGUGGGUCCUUGGAGAGGAGGGCAUCGGAUUCGGUCUCGAACUUGAGCGGAGCUAAUGGCGGAUGGGUUGAACUUAGCCGAGUCGGAGCUAGGGUGCGCUUGGAGAUCGACUUCUCAACCGAGGCUUGCUUAAGAGCUUCUAGAACGUUGAGCACUCAUGGAGGUUGUUCCUGCCCGGAUGGGUCUUCCAUAAUCACAACUCCUUUGAUUUUGUGCUGUUUUGAUUGUUCACGGAGUUACAUGAAAUAAAGGCAACGACAACUCACUGAGUCACUGUCAACCAACCGACUGACCAACCAAUUUGUCCUGAGGCUUGAAAUUUCCCUGCUAAUCUUUUAGCAGCGUCAGGUAUACAAACCGUCAUUAGGGUAAUUUCAUCUUUUCAAAGUCAACUAACUGUCAACUAACUGCCAACUAUAAAUUUAACUAACGGUGAGGGAGUGCUUCCAAAUAAAUCUAUUUUCACCAUCUACUUGCAACUGCCUCAAACCUUGGGGAAGUUUCUAAAAAAUUACCCUUCAAGAAAAUGUGUCAAAAGAGUUUAGACCAGUUGAUCAAUAACUGAAAUUGUUCCUUGAAGGGAUUAUGCAGGGUGUUAGCUGAGAUCACAACUGCUUUCUCUUAACCAGAAGGGGAAAAAAGAGUGACUGUGUGGAAUGUUAAAGCAGAAAUUAGUGCAGAUAAAUCAUGAGAAGAAUUCAUCCCUACCUUACACUGAAGCUGACUGAUCUUCUCUGGAGGCAAUCCACUAAGCAAUUUCAAAGAGCCAGCAUGAAAUAGAUGUCGUUUCUUGUCAAAUGAAUAGUAAUUUCUUGACACAAACACUAUAUUGUUCUCAAUAUCCUUCUCAACAACAUACCUGUAAACAAUGUACAACAACCCUUACGCGGUGAAACUGAAGAACAACAAAACAAGGAAGAAAACAAAAGAUUCUAAUCAGCGACAACCAAUAGUAAAAAAUAUUGAUAAGAAGAUAGCAAAAUAUAUAUUCAAAUGAAUUAUCUAAAGUAUGAAAGAAGUUAUUGAUUGAUUCAAUUUUAGCAACUGUCAUUUAAGAGGAUCAUACCCCAGAAAAAUAAUAUAGACAGUUACUUAAAAAAAAAAAAAUACUAUCUUUGGCAAAAAGAAAGAGUGACAGCAUACCCCUCAGGGUCCUCCAAGGAGACCUAGUUCUUGGUGUUGACCAAUUGUGUAGAACCAAAAUCCCCGAUGUUUUUCAAGGAAGUCCCCUGUCUCAGCUUCCAAUAUGAUACCUUCCACUACCCAAUGUGUCUGGCAACAAAUUCACUAAAUUUUAUCUACAGAAAAUUAGUUGUCAGAUGCAGUCACAAAUUACAAGCCCAUCUUCAUGCACUUGGAAGGUAUAAACAUUUUUACGUAAAAAUUAUGAUGAGGGGGUUGACUUCUGUGGAAUAGUGUACAAUUCCUUGCAUUUAUGUGCAUCAGUGCCUUACAAAUCAAGACAUAGGUUCAUUUUUUUAUUAUGUUUUGUGUUCUCUGCUGAUUGUUUGAAUGAAAUGCUUUGGUGCUUUGUGAUUUAUAAUAUUUUGACCUUUAACCUUUUGGCUUUCACCAAAUAUGAAAAUUAGAGAGCUUUAUCAUUAAGAGGAUAACAUUAAGAAAAAAAAAAUAAUUAUAAUAGUAAUAAUAGCAAAGGUAAUAUGCUCAAACAGGUUCAGAAACUAUUAUACUAUAUAGUGCUGUAGAAAUUGGAUUAUAACUUAAAUCUAGAAGAAUUUUAGUCUAAAAACAACAGCUUGCAGAGCCUACCUUCCCCAGGAAGCAGAUUCCCCAUGAAUCCUUUUUAUCCUUGUUACGCAGAUCAAAUUUUGUAGCAAGCUUGCGAACUUCUUCCUGCCGAUAAUUUGGUAGAGAGAAUUUACAACAAUAGAACUCAAAAAGAAAAGAAAAGCACGUGUAUGCAAAACUUCUGCACAAUGGUAAGUAAAAACUAGGACAUCCAAUCUGCCUACAAGGUAACUACAUUGAUAAAAUUCAUCAUUUGGCACAAGGGAAGAGAAUCCCCAUCUAAGUCCCAGAUUCACAUUUUAAAUAUGUGAAAUUCAAUGGUAAUUGCACUAACAUGGUUUGCAUAUUCUAAGGAUUUCAG